rnacentral:rRNA from 1 species
AGUGGCGGACGGGUGAGUAACACGUAAGAAUUUGCCUUUAGGAGGGGGACAACAACUGGAAACGGUUGCUAAUACCCCAUAUGCUUUCGAGUGAAAUGGAUUUUUCCGCCUAAAGAGAAGCUUGCGGCUGAUUAGCUUGUUGGUGAGGUAAUGGCUCACCAAGGCGACGAUCAGUAUCUGGUUUGAGAGGAUGAUCAGACACACAGGAACUGAGACACGGUCCAGACUCCUACGGGAGGCAGCAGUGGGGAAUUUUCCGCAAUGGGCGAAAGCCUGACGGAGCAAUCUCGCGUGAGGGAUGACGGCCUAUGGGUUGUAAACCUCUUUUUUCAGGGAGGAACAAAAUGACGUGUACCUGAAGAAUAAGCAUCGGCUAACUCCGUGCCAGCAGCCGCGGUAAGACGGAGGAUGCAAGUGUUAUCCGGAAUCACUGGGCGUAAAGCGUCUGUAGGUGGUUUAAUAAGUCAACUGUUAAAUCUUGAAGCUCAACUUCAAAAUCGCAGUCGAAACUAUUAGACUAGAGUAUAGUAGGGGUAAAGGGAAUUUCCAGUGGAGCGGUGAAAUGCGUAGAUAUUGGAAAGAACACCGAUGGCGAAGGCACUUUACUGGGCUAUUACUGACACUCAGAGACGAAAGCUAGGGUAGCAAAUGGGAUUAGAUACCCCAGUAGUCCUAGCCGUAAACAAUGGAUACUAGAUGU